rnacentral:rRNA from 1 species
AUUGAACGCUGGCGGAAUGCUUUACACAUGCAAGUCGAGCGGCAGCGCGGGGCAACCUGGCGGGCGAGCGGCGAACGGGUGAGUAAUACAUCGGAACGUGCCCAGACGUGGGGGAUAACUACUCGAAAGAGUGGCUAAUACCGCAUACGAUCUAAGGAUGAAAGCGGGGGAUCGCAAGACCUCGCGCGUUUGGAGCGGCCGAUGGCAGAUUAGGUAGUUGGUGGGGUAAAGGCUUACCAAGCCCGCGAUCUGUAGCUGGUCUGAGAGGAUGAUCAGCCACACUGGGACUGAGACACGGCCCAGACUCCUACGGGAGGCAGCAGUGGGGAAUUUUGGACAAUGGGCGAAAGCCUGAUCCAGCCAUUCCGCGUGCAGGAUGAAGGCCCUCGGGUUGUAAACUGCUUUGUACAGAACGAAAAAGACUCUUUCUAAUACAGAGAGUCCAUGACGGUAC